rnacentral:rRNA from 1 species
UACGUAGGGUGCAAGCGUUAAUCGGAAUUACUGGGCGUAAAGCGUGCGCAGGCGGUGAUGUAAGACAGAUGUGAAAUCCCCGGGCUCAACCUGGGAACUGCAUUUGUGACUGCAUCGCUGGAGUACGGCAGAGGGGGAUGGAAUUCCGCGUGUAGCAGUGAAAUGCGUAGAUAUGCGGAGGAACACCGAUGGCGAAGACAAUCCCCUGGGCCUGCACUGACGCUCAUGCACGAAAGCGUGGGGAGCAAACAGG